AAUUAUUAUUAGAAUCUUAUAUAAUUAUUCACGAAAUAAAUUGAGCUAAAUAUUUAUUUUCUUGGAAUUAUUAAAUUCUGUGUUACAAAAUAGGAUGACUAUUUAUAUUUAGGGGUGAAAGGCCUAUCAAAUUUUAUGAUAUCUUGAUGUAUAUAAAAUAUAUUUAGUAUUUUGUCUCAUCUAUUGAAUGUUUAGGUUCAAUAGUUACAUAAUUUUUUUUACAUAAUACGUUAAUUUUUUUAAUUAAAAUUUAUUUUAAGGUAAGAAUAUUAAUCAAUUUUUUAUAUGAAAUAAAAUAUACUAUAAUUAAUAACUAUACUAAUUAUAUAUAAUGUAGCUAUUAGUAAUUAAUUUAUAGGCUAGACAAAGGAAUUCGGCAAAAAAAUUUUUCAACUGUUUAUCAAAAACAUAGCUUAUUGAUGUUUUAUAAUAGGUGGUCCCUGCUCAAUGGUAUUCUAAAUAGCCGCAGUACCUUGACUGUGCAAAGGUAGCAUAAUCAAUUGGCUUAUAAUUGAAGUCUGGAAUGAAUGGGUAAUAAUGGAGAAUAACUGUUUUUGUUUUAGUAUUUUUGAAGUUACUUAUAAAGUGAAAAUACUUUAUAAAAAAUAUUAGACGAGAAGACCCUAGAAAUUUGUUAUAGUAAUUUUGUUGGGGCGACAGGGUAACAUAUAACUUACCUAAAAUAAAUAUAAAUCUUAUAAGAUAUGUAAAUAAAUUACUCUAGGGAUAACAGCAUAAUAUAUUAAAGUUUAUGACCUCGAUGUUGGACUAGGUAAUUAAAUAUUUAAAAGAUAUUUUAAUUAGCUCUGUUCGAGCAUUUUACACCUACAU
rnacentral:rRNA from 1 species